CAGUAGCCGCGGUAAUACGGAGGGUGCAAGCGUUAAUCGGAAUUACUGGGCGUAAAGCGCACGCAGGCGGUUUGUUAAGUCAGAUGUGAAAUCCCCGAGCUUAACUUGGGAACUGCAUUUGAAACUGGCAAGCUAGAGUCUUGUAGAGGGGGGUAGAAUUCCAGGUGUAGCGGUGAAAUGCGUAGAGAUCUGGAGGAAUACCGGUGGCGAAGGCGGCCCCCUGGACAAAGACUGACGCUCAGGUGCGAAAGCGUGGGGAGCAAACAGGAUUAGAGACCCCUGUAGUCCCUGUCUCUUAUAA
rnacentral:rRNA from 1 species